rnacentral:rRNA from 1 species
UGGGGAAUCUUGGACAAUGGGCGCAAGCCUGAUCCAGCCAUGCCGCGUGAGUGAUGAAGGCCUUAGGGUUGUAAAGCUCUUUUGGCGGGGACGAUAAUGACGGUACCCGCAGAAUAAGUCCCGGCUAACUUCGUGCCAGCAGCCGCGGUAAUACGAAGGGGACUAGCGUUGUUCGGAAUCACUGGGCGUAAAGCGCACGUAGGCGGAUUUGUAAGUCAGGGGUGAAAUCCCGGGGCUCAACCUCGGAACUGCCUUUGAUACUGCGGAUCUCGAGUCCGAUAGAGGUGGGUGGAAUUCCUAGUGUAGAGGUGAAAUUCGUAGAUAUUAGGAAGAACACCAGUGGCGAAGGCGGCUCACUGGCCCGAUACUGACGCUGAGGAGCGAAAGCGUGGGGAGCAAACAGGAUUAGAUACCCCUGUAGUCCCUGAGCGGGCUGGCAAGGCGCAU